AUUGAACGCUGGCGGCAGGCUUAACACAUGCAAGUCGAGCGGGGGAAGGUAGCUUGCUACUGGACCUAGCGGCGGACGGGUGAGUAAUGCUUAGGAAUCUGCCUAUUAGUGGGGGACAACAUCUCGAAAGGGAUGCUAAUACCGCAUACGUCCUACGGGAGAAAGCAGGGGAUCUUCGGACCUUGCGCUAAUAGAUGAGCCUAAGUCGGAUUAGCUAGUUGGUGGGGUAAAGGCCUACCAAGGCGACGAUCUGUAGCGGGUCUGAGAGGAUGAUCCGCCACACUGGGACUGGAACACGGCCCAGACUCCUACGGGAGGCAGCAGUGGGGAAUAUUGGACAAUGGGGGGAACCCUGAUCCAGCCAUGCCGCGUGUGUGAAGAAGGCCUUAUGGUUGUAAAGCACUUUAAGCGAGGAGGAGGCUACUUUAGUUAAUACCUAGAGAUAGUGGACGUUACUCGCAGAAUAAGCACCGGCUAACUCUGUGCCAGCCGCCGCGGUAA
rnacentral:rRNA from 1 species